rnacentral:rRNA from 1 species
UGCUGUGAACUCGAAGAGUAGGGCGGGACACGUGGUAUCCUGUCUGAAUAUGGGGGGACCAUCCUCCAAGGCUAAAUACUCCUGACUGACCGAUAGUGAACCAGUACCGUGAGGGAAAGGCGAAAAGAACCCCGGCGAGGGGAGUGAAAAAGAACCUGAAACCGUGUACGUACAAGCAGUGGGAGCACCUUCGGGUGUGACUGCGUACCUUUUGUAUAAUGGGUCAGCGACUUAUAUUCUGUAGCAAGGUUAACCGUAUAGGGGAGCCGAAGGGAAACCGAGUCUUAACUGGGCGUUAAGUUGCAGGGUAUAGACCCGAAACCCGGUGAUCUAGCCAUGGGCAGGUUGAAGGUUGGGUAACACUAACUGGAGGACCGAACCGACUAAUGUUGAAAAAUUAGCGGAUGACCUGUGGCUGGGGGUGAAAGGCCAAUCAAACCGGGAGAUAGCUGGUUCUCCCCGAAAGCUAUUUAGGUAGCGCCUCGUGAACUCAUCUUCGGGGGUAGAGCACUGUUUCGGCUAGGGGGCCAUCCCGGCUUACCAACCCGAUGCAAACUACGAAUACCGAAGAAUGUUAUCACGGGAGACACACGGCGGGUGCUAACGUCCGUCGUGAAGAGGGAAACAACCCAGACCGCCAGCUAAGGUCCCAAAGUCAUGGUUAAGUGGGAAACGAUGUGGGAAGGCACAGACAGCCAGGAUGUUGGCUUAGAAGCAGCCAUCAUUUAAAGAAAGCGUAAUAGCUCACUGGUCGAGUCGGCCUGCGCGGAAGAUGUAACGGGGCUAAACCAUGCACCGAAGCUGCGGCAGCGACACUAUGUGUUGUUGGGUAGGGGAGCGUUCUGUAAGCCGUUGAAGGUGUGCUGUGAGGCAUGCUGGAGGUAUCAGAAGUGCGAAUGCUGACAUAAGUAACGAUAAAGCGGGUGAAAAGCCCGCUCGCCGGAAGACCAAGGGUUCCUGUCCAACGUUAAUCGGGGCAGGGUGAGUCGACCCCUAAGGCGAGGCCGAAAGGCGUAGUCGAUGGGAAACAGGUUAAUAUUCCUGUACUUGGUGUUACUGCGAAGGGGGGACGGAGAAGGCUAUGUCAGCCGGGCGACGGUUGUCCCGGUUUAAGCAUGUAGGCGGAGGUUCCAGGUAAAUCCGGUACCUUAUUAACGCUGAGGUGUGAUGACGAGGCACUACGGUGCUGAAGUGAUAAAUGCCCUGCUUCCAGGAAAAGCCUCUAAGCAUCAGGUAACACGAAAUCGUACCCCAAACCGACACAGGUGGUCAGGUAGAGAAUACCAAGGCGCUUGAGAGAACUCGGGUGAAGGAACUAGGCAAAAUGGUGCCGUAACUUCGGGAGAAGGCACGCUGAUAGGUAGGUGAAGUCCCUGCGGACGGAGCUGAAAUCAGUCGAAGAUACCAGCUGGCUGCAACUGUUUAUUAAAAACACAGCACUGUGCAAACACGAAAGUGGACGUAUACGGUGUGACGCCUGCCCGGUGCCGGAAGGUUAAUUGAUGGGGUUAGCGGCAACGCGAAGCUCUUGAUCGAAGCCCCGGUAAACGGCGGCCGUAACUAUAACGGUCCUAAGGUAGCGAAAUUCCUUGUCGGGUAAGUUCCGACCUGCACGAAUGGCGUAAUGAUGGCCAGGCUGUCUCCACCCGAGACUCAGUGAAAUUGAACUCGCUGUGAAGAUGCAGUGUACCCGCGGCAAGACGGAAAGACCCCGUGAACCUUUACUAUAGCUUGACACUGAACACUGGUCCUUGAUGUGUAGGAUAGGUGGGAGGCUUUGAAGCGUGGACGCCAGUCUGCGUGGAGCCAUCCUUGAAAUACCACCCUUUAAUGGCUGGUGUUCUAACGUAGACCCGUGAUCCGGGUUGCGGACAGUGUCUGGUGGGUAGUUUGACUGGGGCGGUCUCCUCCCAAAGAGUAACGGAGGAGCACGAA